rnacentral:lncRNA from 1 species
UUUGGGAUUGUAAUCUUAUAGAUCCUAACCGACUGUUCCUAGAGCAAGUGGCAAAAGACUUAGUGGUUGGUACUCGAAACCAAAGUUCGAAUCCUAGUUGAUUCACAUUUCUAGUUAAGUUUAUUUCUAAAUAAAAUAAACGAAGUGGGUAGCGUGCUAUCUAUCUCUCAAAAAAAAAAAAAUCUUAUAGAUUCUAAUUCAUUCAAUGUCAUAUUUUUCUCCAUUUAUCUCAUUACUAUUAUUAUUAUUAUUAUUAUU